GCCUGGCUGGCUCAGUCGGUAGAGCAUGCGACUCUUGAUCACAGGGUGUGAGUUCAAGCCCCACAUUGGGCA